GACUGGUCUGAAGGUAGUGAGUUGUCUCAAUUGCUUGUUCACAGUCAGUUAUAGAUUGAAGUUAUUGUUCUAUUCUUUCCCCCUUCUCACUACUGCACUUGACUAGUCUGUU
rnacentral:Y_RNA from 1 species